CAGCUCGUAUAAACACAGUUCUCACGUUCCAUGUUGAGGCACUGAGAACGGUGACGUCACUUUCCAGUCAAGUUUAAACUUAUGUUCCUUUGCUCAACUUCAGGUCUGAGGAGCUCGGUUCAGGUCUGAGGAGCUCGGUUAAGGUCUCGGUUCAGGUCUGAGGAGCUCGGUUCAGGUCUGAGGAGCUCGGUUCAGGUCUGGGGAGCUCGGUUCAGGUCUCGGGAGCUCGGUUAACGUCUCGGUUCAGGUCUCGGGAGCUCGGUUAAGGUCUCGGGAGCUCGGUUAAGGUCUCGGUUCAGGUCUCGGGAGCUCGGUUCAGGUCUGAGGACCUCGGUUAAGGUCUCGGUUCAGGUCUCGGGAGCUCGGUUAAGGUCUCGGUUCAGGUCUGAGGAGCUCUGUUCAGGUCUCGGUUCAGGUCUCGGUUCAGGUCUGAGGAGCUCUGUUCAGGUCUCGGGAGCUUGGUUAAGGUCUCGGUUCAGGUCUGAGGAGCUCUGUUCAGGUCUCGGGAGCUCGGUUCAGGUCUGAGCUCGGGCUCAGUCUGCCGGCUUUGG